AGUUUGAUCCUGGCUCAGGACGAACGCUGGUGGCGGGCCUAACACAUGCAAGUCGAGCGAGGCUCUCCGUUGCUUGCACUAGAAAAUCGAGUGGCGAACGGGUGAGUAAUACAUGAGAAACCUGCCUUGGAGACGGGGACAACCUCGGGAAACUGAGGCUAAUACCCGAUAUCCCUGCCGAGUCGCAUGACUUGGCAAGAAAAUACUCAGGUGCUCCAAGAGGGUCUCAUGCCCUAUCAGCUUGUUGGUGAGGUAAAAGCUCACCAAGGCUUAGACGGGUAGCUGGUCUGAGAGGACGAUCAGCCACACUGGGACUGAGACACGGCCCAGACUCCUACGGGAGGCAGCAGUGGGGAAUCUUGCGCAAUGGGCGAAAGCCUGACGCAGCCACGCCACGUGUGGGACGACGGCCCUCGGGUCGUAAACCACUUUCAGCAGGGACGAAAAUGACGGUACCUGCAGAAGAAGCCCCGGCCAACUACGUGCCAGCAGCCGCGGUAACGCGUAGGGGGCGAGCGUUGUCCGGAAUUACUGGGCGUAAAGGGCUCGUAGGCGGUUUGGUAAGUCAGAUGUGAAAACUCCAGGCUCAACUUGGAGACGCCAUCUGAUACUGCCAUGACUAGAGUUUGGUAGAGGAGUGCAGAAUUCCCGGUGUAGCGGUGAAAUGCGCAGAUAUCGGGAGGAAUACCAGUCAGCGAAGGCGGCACUCUGGGCCACAACUGACGCUGAGGAGCGAAAGCGUGGGGAGCGAACAGGAUUAGAUACCCUGGUAG
rnacentral:rRNA from 1 species